CAGGAGCAGGCGGCAGCCCCCCGCCGCGCCGCGGCCCACCCCGCCGCCUGAGGCUCCCGCCGCCAUCUUGGUUGUGGGCAGUGCCCGGGCGGCGGCGGGGCGCGGCGGCGGCGGCAGGUCCCGCCCGCCACAGCCGGCACGCCGGGCCGGGAGGGGCCGCUGCAGAGCCCCGCCGGGCCGGGGGCAGCCGCGGGGGGCGGCGGGCGCUGCCGGCAGCGUGGUGCAAGCGCACCCGGGGGCGUUGGGCUGCGUCCGGCAUCGCCGGGUUUCCGCGGGGUUCCUUUAUUUAGUUAUCUAUUUGCUUGCUUUUGUUCCUUCCCGGAGGCCGCCGUUGAACGAGAGGGCAAGAAGUUACUGGAACCGGCAGCGAGCGCCGAUGGCCGGGCGGCACCCUGGGGACCGGCGGGAGGGGGAGCUCUGCAUUAGGAAACCACGCCUGGGCUCAUUUUGCAGCACGGUGGCGUUUGCUAUUUAAACCGGGACCCUCAGAACUCUGCCAGGAAUAAAGCAGGACGGAGAAAAGUGUCGCCGGAGGACCCUGCUGCUGCCCGGACUGGUGUCAGUCCAAGAGCAAGCCUAGAAGACUCCGGCCCCUGCAAGGCCAAGGCCGUGGAUAUGGAAAAGGACUUACGCAGCCGCACGUUCCACCAGGGCCUUAACGAGCUGCAGGAGGUGAGUGGAGAUGACAGAGAGGGAAUUCUUCAUGAAGAGCUUCAAGUCAGUCACAACCUGGACAAGACCAGCCACAGUCAGACAAAGCAGAAUGUGACAUACUUAGGGACCAAAUAGUGUUUAGCAGAAAGCCCUGGUAGAGUUAUCCCCUCCUUGUUCUACGGGAUGGGAAGGGGCAUUUUCCUCCCGCCACAUGUGUCCCUGCUCACUGAUCGGGGAAAGCCACUGUAUCUUGCUUUCCAUGGACAGGAUCAAAGCCCUUUCUUUUCAGCGGACUUUUGGGUAUUGUCAACUUUGGAUCAGAAAAUCCCCAACUGACACAAGUCAGUCAUCAGUAGAAGGACUGAUCCUGAAAGGACAGAUGGCACCCAGCCAGUAAAGUCACCGUUUCUGUAGGCCUUCAAAGGGAUGUCAUUGGAAGUCUGUGGCCUUAUACCACCAGGAAGCAAUGACAGAAUCCCAGAAUGCUGGGCGUUGGAAGGGACCUCUGGAGAUCAUCUUGUCCAGCCUCCCUGCUUGAGCAGGCACACCCAGAGCAGGGACUCUGCAGGGCCCAUUCCCCUGCGCGGAUGAGCCACUGCCGUGUCACUAGUUUAAAGCCCUAGGGAUUACAUGCCGGAGAGGGUCAGGGCACGAUGAUGUAAAGACAUUUGAUGAAGGAACUGAGGUAGGGGGAGGAAUACAGAAGGAGAAAAAAGCCAACAGUUCUCUACGUACCUGAUCAUUCCUGCUUCUUCCAGUGUGCAGUUUCCCAGCUAUGUCUCCAAUCAGCUCCUGAGGACAAGAAGAGGAUUUCUGUCAGCAUCUCGGUAGUCUGAGGAGGAGAGUCCACAUGAGUAGACCUCCACCCUGCCUGGAAGGGACUCAGCUCUGGGAUCCUGCAGAGGGAAGACCCCGGAGGAAACGGCAGGGACUUAUGUUUCAUAAGUUGCCCGAGCUCGCGUCCGCCAGAGCACCCCCGAGACUACCCCUCCAGUGAAGCAAAGUUCACCCUCACCUCGGCUGCCAUUUUGGUCGACGUUUUGCUCGUUGGUGCAGCGAUCCCGGCAACUGGUGCAACCUGCGGAACAGCGAGCGGAGUUUGGCAGGGUCCUGUGUUACUUGGCACUGGCCAUGAGGAACAAUGCUGGACAUUUGCUGCUGGGAACGAGAGAAAAUCUGUUCAGCUGAGGCUUCUGAAGGCCGCCGUUGAACGAGAGGGCAAGAAGUUACUGGAACCGGCAGCGAGCGCCGAUGGCCGGGCGGCACCCUGGGGACCGGCGGGAGGGGGAGCUCUGCAUUAGGAAACCACGCCUGGGCUCAUUUUGCAGCACGGUGGCGUUUGCUAUUUAAACCGGGACCCUCAGAACUCUGCCAGGAAUAAAGCAGGACGGAGAAAAGUGUCGCCGGUCAGCAGGGCCCCACAUUACUCAGCACUGACCCCCAAGACACUGAACAGCGGCUGCUGGGAACAAGCCAAAGUCUGUUUGGCUGAGUCCUGUGAAGGUACUGAUGAGGAACGAGAAGAUAGAAACAGGGAGAAAGUUCACGCGAGGAAGGAAAAGAACUGUGAGCCAGGGAGGAGGAGAGAAUCCUUUCUUCUGAACCUGUUGGUGUCACCCCUCCACCUGAAUUAAGCAUACAUAAUGACUUCCCUGCCACAGCCAGUUUAGCUGGAAGGCGAGGCAAAUGUAGUAAACCAGAGCACACGGCAGUAAGCAGCAGGGGACUGAGGAACUUCCUGGCCUUUCAUUCCUCAAAGGCAAGAAGGAGGAACAUUCUUCAGCCCUAGUAUGAGCAGCUUCUCCAUCCUGCUGCCUUCUGUAGCAGGCUCACCCGUCCAAACACUCGUCCAGCUUUGCUGCGGAUCAGCUCCAUACUAUCGGGGUUCUUCUUCUGAGGCAUGAGGCUGCUGCCAGUGCUGAAAGAAAAGUGCGUAGAGCGUAACGGUGAGCAAGACCCCAGUCCAUGCAGUCACAGGUCAUGCAACGUACUGGCCCAGCCCUCCAAAGGUGAUGAGUAGGUGCCCCUUCCCUGGACACCUUUGUAGGGUGUCGGAAAGCGGUGAACUAACCGGGUUUCUCACGUAUCCUAAAGCAGAGCUUUUGGUUUUGCGGUCUUGUCUGGGGCUACCACAGAGUCCUGCCUCUCAAAGGGGCAGCAAAAAGGAGGCUUCCCCCCAAGCCGUUCCAUAGCUGGUAUGAGCAGGCCAGCCCAAGUGUUGCUGUGGCCUCAGAGAGGGAGGGCUGUGGCUGUGCCACCCGGCGAGACAGGAAGUCUGUUAGGACUGCAAACCCGGCUAGUCAGGGAAGGGCUUUGGCAGGCAUUCCCAGCAGAGGAGGAAGUUCCCUCUGCCGGCAGUUGCUGGGGAGGAGUGUCUGCUGAAGGCAGGCUCGGUUGAGUUCCCAGAAUCAGAAAUAAGCGGUCAUUGCUGAGGAAUGUUCACCCUAAGGCUGCCUUUCUGCCAGCCUUUUAAUGCUGUGUCAGCCGUGUGCAGCAGGGUGACCCCAACCCCUGCCUCAUUCUCCCAGGUGAGGAUAGCUGAGGAGGAGGGACUGAGGGAGAGGGGCUUUCUGCCCAGAGUCCACGGACCUACCUGUAAGCAUCAGAGAAGGUUAGGAAGCCAAACUCGCUGGUACUGUAGAUGAUGAGAUCUUCGGCCAUCUUGCUAAGGUGGAUCAUCAUCAGGGUGGCCAUAGAGAGGAAUUCCAC